rnacentral:lncRNA from 1 species
CACUACUAUAAUCCUCAAUACAUCAUCAAAUCAUUCAUUACAUUACAUGGUCAUAAAUACUCGUUACAUCAUGUUCAUGUCCACUACUAUCUAUUACAACAUACAUGACUUAACUUCACUCUAGCCGACUUCCCGAUCUAUCCUGUACCUGCAACUCUGGGGAUAAAGGGAGUGGGGUGAGCUACUAGAGCCCAGUGAGCAGAAUAAUAAAAUAUCAAUUUAAAUCAUGCUUUCAUGUAUGCGCCAUAACACAAACAUUUCACAACAAGGAUGAACUUGUCACCAUUUAGCCCCUAUCUUUCUUACUUAUACAUGCCGGGGGCGUAGAGCCGUAGCAGGCACACCCGGACUACCAUAAUCAAUCAUAGUGCCAGGGGCGUAGAGCCGUAGCAGGCACACCUGGACUCACAUAGGCUAUCAUGACAUAAAAGGGCUAAUGGAUCAUUCAACAUUCAUCCACAUCAACAACAAGGUAUGCAAUGCAACAUAUUCGUGAAUUCUAAUGCAAUCAACCUGAUAUAUCUCAUGGCAUUCAUGAUGCGUGAAUCAUGCUAAAACAUUUCAUUAAUUUGCUUUAAAACUUAAAGUUUAUUCCACUCACCUCUGGCUAGCUCUGAAGAGACUCUGAAGCAGCUGGCUCACUGCUGGGGGUCUCGGUUCCUCAGGUCCGAACCUACACAGGUGGACUCAAAUGAGGGACCAAACAUACCUGAAUAUGACUCUAAAAUACUCCCCAAAAACCCCCUAAAACAUCCUGAAAACAUCACAUGAAAACAUGCAAGAAAUGGCUGAACAGGGCACUUUCGGCGGCAGGUUCGGCGGCCGAAAGUCCCACUGCAGCCGAAAGUCAUGCAGGUUCGGCGGCACUUUCGGCGGCCGAACCUCCCAGACAGAGACGAAACUUGAGUUUCGGGGGCAGGCUUCGGCAGCCGAAACUGCCUUCACAAGGGGGUUCGGCGGCCGAAAGUCACUUCGGCGGCCGAACCUGAGUUUCUGCCGAAGGGCAGAAACUUGGCUUCCUUGUGUCCACAGCCUCCAAAACACCUCAAAACAUGCAUAAACUUGUUUCUACACAUGCAUACACAUCAUGCAUCACACCUAGGGGUCACAAACUAUACUAUACCCCAACUACAACACUUCAAACAACACAUUUCCAACAUACAUUGUUCAAAUCACAUCAUAAACCCAUAAACCUAACAACAAGCCUAAACAUGCAUUCUACCCCAUCAACUUGCAUAAAACUUUCAUAAAACAUAAAAGAAGCAUAGAUCGAAGCUUACCUCUUGAAGAUCGAGAGGAAGAACGACCCUAGCUCGGAAAAUGGAGGGAUUUAGCUCCAAGACUUCCAAGCUCCAAAACUUGUUUCAAAAGCUUAAAUCUUCAAAACCAAGGGAAAACAAGUGAAAAUCUUGAAAGAUUUAGAGGAAGAACAUCAAAAAUGGGUGAGGGGCGGCGGAAAGCUCACCUUGGCCGAAAAUGGGGAAAAACUCGCCCGUUUUCGGCUAAGGGACCCUUUUAUAGUGGCUGGCCAGACCACGUUCGAGGGCCGAAAGUGCCUCCGCAUGCAUGCAAGGUUCGGCGGUCGAACAUGAGGUUCGGCGGCCGAACUUGGACUUCCCUCACUCAUGCUUUCGGGGGCCUAACGUGCCUCCAAAACACAUGCAUGUUCGGCGGCCGAACUUGAUUUUCGGCGGCCGAACCUGGGUUUUUCCUCCAAAGACUUUUCAUGUAAAAAUUCAUUUAAUUUCUUACUUAAAACAUGAAAUACAUGAAAACAUUUCAUAAAAUCAUAGUUUUUACCCUUCUAGAGGUUUCCGACAUCCGAGGUCCCACCAGACGGUAGGGAUUCCGAUACCGGAGUCUAGCCGGGUAUUACAACCGCUAUCAGUCAUGUUAGAGUUUGUUUGGUCCCUCAUUUGAGUCCACCUGUGUAAGAUUGGACCCGAGGAACCGAGGAGGCCAGCAAUGUUAGCUGUUUCAGAGUCAGCUAUAGGUGAGUAGAAUAUAACUCUUUUAUUUCAAACCAAAUAAACUUUUAAGCAUGUUCAUGCAUCAUAAAUGCCAUGUAUGUAAUAGGUUGUAGUGCAUUAGAACUCAGGAAUAUAACGCAUUGCUGAUCAAACAUAAUUUAGCCACAUUUCUAUUAUCUUUAUUAUUGCUUAAAUACAUAUUUUUCAGCUUAAUUUAUGGUUUUUGUUAUAUUUUUGCAGGAAAGGAAGAAAAUGGAAAGUUGGAGAAAAAGUGCAGGAGAAGCUGGAAAAGUGAUUGGGUCAGAGUGAUUUGGCCAAAUCAAGCAAAGGAAGCUGAGGCAGAAACCUGGAAGUAAAUUCGCAGAAAUAAUUUGGGCAAGUGAUCUGCCCAAAUCACCCGCCCAAAUCACAUUGACGCAGAGAGACAGCAAAAGCGGAAAAAGUGCAGAAAACUGAAAUUCAAAAGUGGAGAAGUCCAAAUCCAUUUUAAAUACUGUAAGAUCAGUCCCAAGAGCCACGAGAAAGUCUUUCACUUAAAGAAUUCCAUUCACAAUUAAAUACAAAAAAUAAAAGAGGAAUCAAAGACUACAAAGAAGACCAAGUCAAGAUUGGGAUUUCCAAACCCUAAUUGGAUAAGGAUUCUCCAGCUAUAAAAAGGGAUAGCAUCUAAACUAGCAGGAUCAUCUCAGCAGUCUCGAAAAUUCUGCAGAAACUUAGCAAAAGCACAGCGGCCUCUUCUCCUAUUUUUUUUCUUUUCUUUUUGUGUAUUUUGUCCACCAUGAGUGGCUAAACACUUUUCAUUUCUAGUUGAAAUUGGAAAUUUCAUAUUUGUGAUGAAUUGGGAGAUUUAAUACUACAUUAUUAAACUCUUGUUUAUUUUCAAUAUUUAUGCAACUUGAUCUUUCUAUACUUAUUGCUUUACUUUUAAAAUCAAUUAAGGCUUGUUGCUUAUAAUUGCUUAAGUAAUAUAUUGUUUGAAUAAUUUAGGUCCGUAAUUGCUUAGGUUAUUUAAUCACAAGUAUAAUCAGUUGCAUAAUCUAAACUUGACCAUGCAGUUGACAAAGUUAGAGUUGGGUUUCUUUAAGUCCUAAUGCAGUUAACAGUUGUUCGAUGCUAAAAGCCCCAAGGACGUUCCUUGGCAACUUGUUAGCUAGAGUUCAAUUAGCGAACGUUUCCUAAUCAAACUAAAAUUAAGGAGGAAUUUGGAUUGUGAGAAGCGUCUUCCACGUCCUAAACUAACUUAUUGAAAUAAAUAAGACUAUCAAAAAGUUAAUGAUCAAUUCUAAACAAACUAAAAUUCAUCCAUGCUUCAACUAUAAUCCUUUUCCCAUUGAAAUUCUUAUCUUUUAAAUUAUUGCUUUAUCUUACUAUUUAGUUUUAAUUCAUUAUCAUCAAAUCAAACCCCCUCUCUUAUUUACUUUUGUUAUUUGUCCAAAUCAUUAAUAGAAAAAUUCGUAGUGUCAAAUCUCUGUGAUUCGACCCUAUUGCCACUGUCUACAAGUUAAUUAUUGAUUGAUUAAUAGGUUUAUUUUUUACGGCUUCGACAACCGCUAUCAAUUGCAUAAUAUGAUGUUGAUGUGGAUGGAUGUUGGAUGACCCAUUGGCCCUUGUAAUGAUAUGAUAUGAUAUAGUAUGGAAGUCCAGGUCGAGGCCCAUUCUACGCUCCUGGCACAGAGUAAAAGAAAUUUCAGAUCGAGGCCCAUUCUGUAACAGCCCGGAAACCGAACUGCUACCGGCACUAGGAUCCAGAUCAACUUAAGGUCGCCGGGACCCGUAGUAAGCCUGCUAUCCUGUCUGUGUACCUGUGAAAUCCCAUACAUGAUCAUACUUUUUCUGUCAAACUAUUAAAACUGUUCUGUCCUCCAGGGCUUAACCUGUGCAUGCACUGUUUCUGCUCUCUCUUAUCCGUCUCUAAGCGGAUAAACUCAUAAUGUUAAGCCUGGUUUUCUCAUAUACAUCAACAAGAAAAGAUACAUACAUAUAAAAACUGAUCAUGUAUACAUAACUGGGGAUCACUCUAAUGAAUCAAGCACAAGUCUAUACAUCUUAUUACAUAACUACAAUCUCUUUACAUAUACAUGUCCACACUAGCUAUUACAUAUCUCUUCUUCCAUACCUUGCUGAACUCCCUCUGGACUCUGAACCUGCAAACCUGGGGAAUAGGGGAGAGGGAUGAGCUAUACAAGCCCAAUGAGUAGAACUAUAAAACAUGAUCUCAUGGAAUGCACCACAUCACAGACAUUUCAUCUCAAGGAUAGACAUGACCACCAAAAUUCCCACUGGGAGGAUGCCUGGCCUAGCCAGGUCUUACAUCCUCAAUUUGCCUGGCCCUGCCAGGUCUUACAAACUCUGCUCGCCUGGCCCAGCCAGGUCUUACAAUAAUCUGCUGCCUGGCCUAGCCAGGUCUUACCUACAGAAGGCUGCCUGGCCCGGCCAGGUCUUACACAGAGCUAGGGCUAUUGGGGUCGCCUUGGUCCAUCCAUCUCAUCAUAUACAUCGUAUUAUACAAUGCAAUGCGCCAUAUUCGUGAAACUAGUGCAAGCAACCUACUAUAGUCAUCAUGAUGCAUGCCACAUGCUAAAAGCAUUUUAGGUCUGAAAAGAGAAGUUCCACUCACCUCUGGCUGACUCUGGACUACCUCUGCAGGUUCUGAACCUGUGCUCACUGCUGACUUCCCUGAUUCCUCUGGUCCGUUCCUACACAGUUGGACUCAAAUGAGGGACCAAACGAACUCAAGAACCGCUCUAAGAAACUCCCCAAAAGCCCGCUAAAAGAUCCUAAAACAAUCACAUAAAACAUGCAAAAGAAAGCUGGACAGGGCACUUUCGGCGGCAUGUUCGGCGGCCGAAACCCCUCUCCAGAGACGAAACUCAUGCAUGUUCGGCGGCACCUUCGGCAGCCGAAAGGCUCGUCCAGAGACGAACCUCAACCUUCGGCGGCCGAACCUUGCCUCCAGAGACGAAAGUCCAAAUGUUCGGGGGCAAGCUUUGGCAGCCGAAACUGCCUCCACAAGGGGUUCGGCGGCCGAACCUGGCUUUGUCCAGUGGACAGAACCCUGCUCUGUUUCAUGCAAAUCUCCCCC